GACGAACCGUGCGACCGUUGUUCGGAGUCACUGGGCUUAAAGGGCGCGUAGGCGGGCUGCCAAGUCAGGGGUGAAAGCCCACGGCUCAACCGUGGAAGUGCCUUUGAUACUGGCGGCCUUGAGGGAGGUAGGGGCGUGCGGAACUUCCGGUGGAGCGGUGAAAUGCGUAGAUAUCGGAAGGAACACCGGUGGCGAAAGCGGCGCGCUGGACCUCUUCUGACGCUGAGGCGCGAAAGCUAGGGGAGCAAACGGG
rnacentral:rRNA from 1 species